AGAGUUUGAUCCUGGCUCAGGACGAACGCUGGCGGCGUGCUUAACACAUGCAAGUUGAACGGGGAUAUUGUUUUCGGAUGAUAUCUUAGUAGCGGACGGGGGAGUAACGCGUGAGCAACCUACCUUUGUGAGGGGGACAACAGCUGGAAACGGCUGCUAAUACCGCAUAAGACCACAGCCCUGAGUGGGGCAGUGGUAAAAGAUUUAUCGCACAAAGAUGGGCUCGCGUCCCAUUAGCUAGUUGGUGAGGUAACGGCCCACCAAGGCUUCGAUGGGUAGCCGACCUGAGAGGGUGAUCGGCCACACUGGAACUGAGACACGGUCCAGACUCCUACGGGAGGCAGCAGUGGGGAAUAUUGGGCAAUGGGCGCAAGCCUGACCCAGCAACGCCGCGUGAGGGAAGAAGGUCUUCGGAUUGUAAACCUCUGUCCUUGGGGACGAAAAAAAUGACGGUACCCAAGGAGGAAGCCACGGCUAACUACGUGCCAGCAGCCGCGGUAAUACGUAGGUGGCAAACGUUGUCCGGAAUUACUGGGCGUAAAGGGCGAGUAGGUGGUUUAUUAAGUCAAGAGUGAAACUCCAGGCUCAACUUGGAGACUGCUCUACGAAACUGGUAGACUUGAGUGCAAGAGAGGGAAGUGGAAUUCCUAGUGUAGCGGUGAAAUGCGUAGAUAUUAGGAGGAACACCAGUGGCGAAGGCGACUUCCUGGCUUGUAACUGACACUGAGGCGCGAAAGCGUGGGGAUCAAACAGGAUUAGAUACCCUGGUAGUCCACACCGUAAACGAUGAUAACUCGCUGUCGGGGUAUCGACCCCCUCGGUAGCCAAGCGAAAGCGAUAAGUUAUCCACCUGGGGAGUACGACCGCAAGGUUGAAACUCAAAGGAAUUGACGGGGGCCCGCACAAGCGGAGGAACAUGUGGUUUAAUUCGAUGAUACGCGAGGAACCUUACCCGGGCUCGAACGGUGCAGGAAUAUGGUAGAGAUAUCAUAGCUUCGGGGCUGCUUACAAGGUGCUGCAUGGUUGUCGUCAGCUCGUGCCGUGAGGUGUCGGCUUAAGUGCCAUAACGAGCGCAACCCUUGUCGUUAGUUGCCAUCAAGUAAUGUUGGGGACUCUAGCGAGACUGCCACCGUAAGGUGUGAGGAAGGGGGGGAUGACGUCAAAUCAGCACGGCCCUUACGUCCGGGGCGACACACGUGUUACAAUGGUAGGUACAGAGGGCAGCUACCCAGCGAUGGGAUGCGAAUCUCUAAAACCUAUCUCAGUUCGGAUCGGAGUCUGCAACUCGACUCCGUGAAGUUGGAUUCGCUAGUAAUCGCGGAUCAGCCAUGGCGCGGUGAAUACGCUCCCGGGCCUUGUACACACCGCCCGUCA
rnacentral:rRNA from 1 species